rnacentral:rRNA from 1 species
GAUGAACGCUGGCGGCGUGCCUAAUACAUGCAAGUCGAGCGAACAGACGAGGAGCUUGCUCCUCUGACGUUAGCGGCGGACGGGUGAGUAACACGUGGAUAACCUACCUAUCAGACUGGGAUAACUUCGGGAAACCGGAGCUAAUACCGGAUAAUAUAUUUAACCUCAUGGUUCAAUAGUGAAAGACGGUUUUGCUGUCACUGAUAGAUGGAUCCGCGCCGCAUUAGCUAGUUGGUAGGGUAACGGCUUACCAAGGCAACGAUGCGUAGCCGACCUGAGAGGGUGAUCGGCCACACGGGAACUGAGACACGGUCCAGCCUCCUACGGGAGGCAGCAGUAGGGAAUCUUCCGCAAUGGGCGAAAGCGUGACGGAGCAACGCCGCGUGAGUGAUGAAGGUCUUCGGAUCGUAAAACUCUGUUAUUAGGGAAGAACAAAUGUGUAAGUAACUAUGCACGUCUUGACGGUACCUAAUCAGAAAGCCACGGCUAACUACGUG